rnacentral:misc_RNA from 1 species
AACGCAAAUUGCACUCUCUGGCAACCCGGGGAGUAUGCCUGUUUGAGGGUCAGUGUUAAUAAAAAUCGGUGCGUCGCAAUUUUUUUGUGAUGUUUCCGGAGUUUGAGUUAUCUUAACUCUUCUGGGUUUUUAAGAGGCUUAAAAUUGACCUUUUUUUGUGCAUUUUAGACGUACAUAAAUUUUUUUUUAUUCGUCUAUCUUAAUGCCAAAAUCUAUUAGAUGCGACCAUAUCGUGUGGUUCUGUGUCUAUAAAUUUUUCAUGAUUUGACCUCAAAUCAGGUAGGAACACCCGCUGAACUUAA